rnacentral:lncRNA from 1 species
CGCAGGCCCACUCUUUGGGACCUAAGAGGUGCCGUGGGUGCCACCCACACAUCCUGGAGAGCCCAAGCUGCAAUCCUAAAACCUGGCACCUUGGCCUGUCUGCCCCAUUCUGAAUUGUUCUGGGAUAACCGCCUUGUACAGGCAGAAGGGCAGGAUUUAAAGGGAUGCAAUUCCCCAUCACACCUUGUUUAGUCCUGACAAUGCUCUGGCCUCUGGAUUCCAGGGUGGGAUACUUUGGGGGACUGAAAGCAUCAUAGGAGCACAGAAUCCUGAAACAGAGGAAGGGGUUCAUACAAAACCUCUCCGUUUCUGUUCCAGAGCCAGCAUCCCCUCCUUGUACCCAGCAAUGCCCUGGUUUAAGUUCAGGAUGGCAUUUCCAGUGACUCAUUCCUGACUUCCCAUUUGGGGUAGGUUGGGACAGGUUACCCUGCUUCUUUGGGACAGAGGAUAGAUUUUAUGUUGAGCAAAGGGGCUGGGACCACUUGUCUGUGUCUAAUCCAACAAGGAAGUGAGAAGACUCUUAUUGUCCUCGACUUGGGCCCCUAGAGAGGGCUGCUGGCUGAGUGCUGAGGGGAUUCUGGCUUGGAAAUUCAGUACAUCUGGACCCCAAAUGGCUGCCUUCAAGUGGUGGCUGGGUAACUGCCAGUGUCAGUGUGGGGAUUUUUUUUUUGUAGUUAGGAUUGAAUCUUGGGGUGCUUAACCACUGAGCUACAUCCCCAGUCCCGUGUUGUUUUGAGUCAGGAUUUUGAGACAGGGUCACACUAAGUUGCCUACCACCUCUGUAAGUUGCUUGGCUGACCUUGAAUUUGGGAUUCUCCUGCUUCAGCCUUCUGAGUUUCUGGGAUUACAGGCACCAAUGUGCCCAGUGAUUUUUUUUUUAAGCCCUUAUUGGUUACCUCAGAUUUAAAUUAUUGAGGUCACUAUUCCCACAUAGUUUUGUUCACUGAUUCUUUGACUAGGACAAUGCUAUUUGUGGAUAAAUCAUUACAUUGUGGGCCCUAUUGCUAUGCAUAGUUUAAGACUUCCACCAAAUAGAAGGUUAUCCAUGGGAAUUCACCAGUCACUAACCAGUCUGUACUCCAUAUCUUUCUACACCAGAAGCUCUGAUGCCCUCAGCUUCCCUAGGGAAGGCUUUGUGCCAGGUAACAUUUCCUGGUCCUGUGUUCUAAGGAGGGCACCCCAACACAGAGAUGGACAUUUAAUUUCCAUUCUUCUUUCCUUACUGUAUCUCCUUCUCCUCUCCUCUGUGUCUUUUCCAGGUGGAUUCUUUUUCUUUCUUUUUUAAGUUGUCAAUGGACCUUUAUUUUAUGUAUCUAUUUGCAGUGCUAAGAAUGAAAUCCAGUGCCUCACACAAGCUAAGCAAACACACUGCUAUUGAGCCACAACUCCAGCCGGCAAGGUGUAUUCUUUUUCUUUCCUCUGACUGGACACUGUUGGCUGAUUCUGUUAGACAAACCAUGACCUCUGGUGGCUGCCCAGGAAGCUGACUACUGAGUUAAGGAUGGGACCUUAACUCAGUAGUUAAGGUCCAUGCAAGGAGGACAGGGCAGGUGGUACAAGUAUGGCUUUCCCCACAUAUUAGUUAUCCAGGAACAUGGAUGUGGUGGUCUAAUACUGACUUCAAGAAUUUGGAUGUGCUGUAUAGAGGGAGGAAGUAGAGAUUAGUUGCUAAGAAUUCAAAAUGAACCACAAACCAAAGUUAG